UUUUUACGGAGAGUUUGAUCCUGGCUCAGGACGAACGCUGGCGGCGUGCUUAACACAUGCAAGUCGAACG
rnacentral:rRNA from 10 species